AUGAACGCUGGCGGCGUGCUUAACACCUGCAAGUCGAACGAGAAGUGAAGACGGAACCCUUCGGGCGGAAGGCUUUAUUUCGAGUGGCGGACGGGUGAGUAACGCGUGGGUAACCUGCCUCAUACAGGGGGAUAACAGUUGGAAACGACUGUUAAUACCGCAUAAGACCACAGCACCGCAUGGUGCGGGGGUAAAAACUCCGGUGGUAUGAGAUGGACCCGCGUUCGAUUAGCCAGUUGGCGGGGUAACGGCCCACCAAAGCGACGAUCGAUAGCCGAUCUGAGAGGAUGACCGGCCACAUUGGGACUGAGACACGGCCCAAACUCCUACGGGAGGCAGCAGUGGGGAAUAUUGCACAAUGGGGGAAACCCUGAUGCAGCGACGCCGCGUGAGUGAAGAAGUAUUUCGGUAUGUAAAGCUCUAUCAGCAGGGAAGAAAAUGACGGUACCUGAGUAAGAAGCCCCGGCUAACUACGUG
rnacentral:rRNA from 1 species